GUCAUAGAUAGCUCAGUUGGUACAGCAUGAGACUGUUAAUCUCAGGGUCAGGGGUUCAAGCCCAUGAUGGACA